GGGUUCAAACUUGUCACAUUUCGGCGAUAUUCGCCGUUUUGGAUCCAAAAUAGGUAAUUCUUUUGAUUUGCCUAGAUCCGAUGAGUUUUUGAAAAUGAGGGGAGAGGGGGGUCUGCGUCAGGGUUGUAGUAAAUGAAAAUCAGUAAAUGUAAUGAUGUCAAAUCACUAGCCAGUUUGGCGGGUUAUGUUUUACAAUUUCCGAAGUAUAAGCAGUCUGUGCAGAUUGAGCGCACACACUUAACUCGUAGUAUUUUCUCUAUUGAAGUCACACGCCCACGUCACGUUGCUGUGCGCGUGGUCACAAAAACUUAACAUUCACUUAAGUUUCACUUUUCACUUGUUUCACGAUUGACUUGCAUAUACCGUACAGUAUUUCCAUGUAUUAAAGUUGCUGCGUUCACGUAUUUACACUACAAUCCAAGACGCUAUAUCGGUCAAACUGGCUAACACACACUCACACGGGGUAAAACCAAACCCUAUUCAUUCAGCAAUCCGACCUGAUCGUUUCUCUCCUCUCCCUAUUUUUUAUUAUUUUUUUUAUUUUAUUUGUGGCGUUCCGCGUCACUCGCGUGACGAAUGACAAGGCGGCAGACCUAAACACGGUCAGUUUACUUGGUGGAUUUGGAGCGGCAAUUUUCACACAAAAGAGGAGAAAAACGAGCGUCAGUGCGGAAAAUACUGGUGGCGACGGAGAUAGUGACGAUGUAACAACAUUGGUUCCGAAAAAAGGAAAGCAAAGAAGUUACAUAUGGACGUUUCUCAAUCGGAAGGCUGCAGCCUCCGAAGGUCGCAUAUGCAGGCUGCAUACGUGGGACUGAUUCUCCGUGCUGAUGAUAGUUGUGUUUGUUAUUAUUCAGUUUGUUUAAGUAUUACUUAAGUAAGACUUAUUUAAUGCCUGCUAUGACUGUACACACAAUUUCAUUCUUAAUUUCCAUAUCAUUGUUCAUUUUCUACAGAUUUCUGCCACUGCACCACUACACUCUGACUCUCCCUGCUAGUCCAAGGCUGAUACUGCUGGUUGCUGGUGAAGUCACACUUGGAGGUUGGAUGCAUUGAAAACAACAUCAUCUGUGAAGGCAUCCACCAAAGCUUCAUCAGAGGGCUGGCUGCAGUUUUCGCCACCUACUAUGUGUUCAACUUGCAAUACCAAGAGGAAGCUGCCAGGACACUGGACUUUGUUCAAAGAUGCUUAAUUGGUGUGAACCCUGAAAGGGGAACAAAAGCCAGCCAAGUGAAGGUGUCCAAGAAGACAGGAAAGCUUGUCCAGAAAAAGGCAGCAACUGUGAAUCCCCAUGUGGCCACCCUUAUCAAAAACCUCAUGGACUUUGAGUGGGGCUUUAUUUAAUUUUUUUAUAUUACAGUUUAUUUUAAUUGAAGAUGAUGUUACAGCAUUGUGUUCAGCACUUCAGUUAAGAAAAGUCACAUCAUUGUGGUGUUUAUUAUAUUUAAUAAAAACUGUGUAUUAUUGUCAUCCUUUGUUUGAGACAUUUUUUUGCAAGCAAUUUUAAGUUACAAUAUAAAGAUCACAUUCUACAGUAUAGUUUAUAUUAAAAAAACAAUAAACAGUUUAUUAAAAUUACAGCAGGAACACUAAAAUAACAGUAUAAUGCAACCAAACAUCUGACAGUAUUAUACUGUGCAGCUCUCUUUUUUUACAGCACAGUCCCGUAAUAUUUGUACAGUAAAAAACUGUUAUUGUAAAUUACAGUAGGUAAUCUGUAAAAUUACAACUUUAUGCAGGCAAAUCUAGCUGCCAGUAUAUUACUGUAAUUUAACGGUGACAUUUUUUACAGUGUAGAAUCCAGCUUUGCUGAGGUCAAUAUGUAUGUCAAAGGAUUACUGUCAGUGACAACAGUGAACUGGUUACCAUACAGACAAUCGCUAAACUUCUCAGUGAUUGCCCACUUAAACAUGGAUUAUUACAAUAAAGCUUCUCACAAAGCUUUUCACACUGUGUCUUCCUGCAUCUCAGUCAACAGGAAAUAAUGACCACUGGAGGGACUCAUGCUGUACUU